rnacentral:rRNA from 1 species
GGCGUCCGUAGUCUAAUCAGCUUUCUUCAGGGAAGAGCCAAGACGGUACCUCCAGAAGAAGCCCCGCCUAACUACGUCCCAGCAGCCGCGGUAAUAUGUAGGGGGCGAGCGUUCUCCGGAUUCAUUGGGCGUAAAGCGCGCGCAGGCGGCCUCCCAUCCCAGGUGUGAAAGCGCGGGGCUCAUCCCCCCCGAAGCCCCCGGAACCUCCGCGGCUUGGGUCCGGUAGGGGAGGGUGGAACACCCGGUGUAGCGGUGGAAUGCGCAGAUAUCGGGUGGAACACCGGUGGCGAAGGCGGCCCUCUGGGCCGAGACCGACGCUGAGGCGCGAAAGCUGGGGGAGCGAACAGGAUUAGAUACCCUGGUAGUCCCAGCCGUAAACGAUGGACGCUAGGUGUGGGGGGACGAUCCCCCCGUGCCGCAGCCAACGCAUUAAGCGUCCCGCCUGGGGAGUACGGCCGCAAGGCUAAAACUCAAAGGAAUUGACGGGGGCCCGCACAAGCAGCGGAGCAUGUGGCUUAAUUCGAAGCAACGCGAAGAACCUUACCAGGGUUUGACAUAUGGGUGAAGCGGGGGAGACCCCGUGGCCGAGAGGAGCCCAUACAGGUGGUGCAUGGCUGUCGUCAGCUCGUGUCGUGAGAUGUUGGGUUAAGUCCCGCAACGAGCGCAACCCCCGCCGCGUGUUGCCAUCGGGUGAUGCCGGGAACCCACGCGGGACCGCCGCCGUCAAGGCGGAGGAGGGCGGGGACGACGUCAAGUCAUCAUGCCCCUUAUGCCCUGGGCUGCACACGUGUUACAAUGGCCGGUACAGAGGGAUGCCACCCCGCGAGGGGGAGCGGAUCCCGGAAAGCCGGCCCCAGUUCGGAUUGGGGGCUGCAACCCGCCCCCAUGAAGUCGGAGUUGCUAGUAAUCGCGGAUCAGCAUGCCGCGGUGAAUGCGUUCCCGGGCCUUGUACACACCGCCCGUCA